GGACCUGACUGCUAUCGGAUUGCUUUUAAGCCAUGCGAGUCAUUGUAGCAAUACAAGGCAGACGGCUCAGUAACGCGUAGUCAACCUAACCUAUGGACGGGAAUAACCUCGGGAAACUGAGAAUAAUGCCCGAUAGAACACUAUACCUGGAAUGGUUUGUGUUCCAAAUGAUUUAUCGCCGUAGGAUGGGACUGCGGCCUAUCAGUUUGUUGGUGAGGUAAUGGCCCACCAAGACUAUUACAGGUACGGGCUCUGAGAGGAGUAGCCCGGAGAUGGGUACUGAGACACGGACCCAGGCCCUAUGGGGCGCAGCAGGCGAGAAAACUUUGCAAUGUGCGAAAGCACGACAAGGUUAAUCCGAGUGGUUUCUGCUAAAGGAACCUUUUGUCGGUCCUAGAAACACCGAUGAAUAAGGGGUGGGCAAGUUCUGGUGUCAGCC
rnacentral:rRNA from 1 species